rnacentral:rRNA from 1 species
CCGUAGGUGAAGUCAUGAUCUUUUGAACGCCUUGCGCCUUCUGGUUAUUGGAAAGGGCAUGCCUGUCCGAGCGUCAUUAUCAUUGAACCUGCGGA